GGACCCGUAGCUUAACUGAAUAGAGCAUCUGACUACGGAUCAGAAGGUUGGGGGUUUGAAUCCCUCCGGGUCCG
rnacentral:tRNA from 1 species